CAAGAGCGUAUGUAAAAGUUGUUGCAGUUAAAAAGCUCGUAGUUGAACCUUGGGUUUGGUUGGCCGGUCCGCUUUUUUGCGAGUACUGGAUUCAACCGAGCCUUUCCUUCUGGCUAACCAGUCGUUUCGGCGGCUGACGAACCAGGAUUUUUACUUUGAGAAAAUUAGAGUGUUCAAAGCAGGCAUUAGCUUGAAUAUAUUAGCAUGGAAUAAUAGAAUAGGACGUUAUGGUUCUAUUUUGUUGGUUUCUAGGACCAUCGUAAUGAUUAAUAGGGACGGUCGGGGGCAUCAGUAUUCAGUUGUCAGAGGUGAAAUUCUUGGAUUUACUGAAGACUAACUACUGCGAAAGCAUUUGCCAAGGACGUUUUCAUUAA
rnacentral:rRNA from 1 species